rnacentral:rRNA from 1 species
UAACGCGUGAGGAACCUGCCUCAAAGAGGGGGACAACAGUGGAAAGACUGCUAAUACCGCAUAAGCCCACAGCUCGGCAUCGAGCAGAGGGAAAAGGAGUGAUCCGCUUUGAGAUGGCCUCGCGUCCGAUUAGCUAGUUGGUGAGGUAAUGGCCCACCAAGGCGACGAUCGGUAGCCGGACUGAGAGGUUGAACGGCCACAUUGGGACUGAGACACGGCCCAG